UGGUCUAUUUCUCUUCGGUCUUGCCCUUCACCAGAUUCCUUGACCAAAUUUAGGGUUAGCAUAUUUUGUAGCUACAGUGACAUGGCUGACCGGAACAAUUCAUCGGCGAUUACAGUGACGGCAGCGGUGAAACCGAUAUGGGCGAAGCAAGCAGAGGAAGCGAAGCUUAAGAGCGAAGCAGAGAAAGAUGCGGCUGCGAAAGCUGCUUUCGAUGCCACGUUUAAGAACGUCGAAGCUUCAGCCACUGCAGCCGCGGCCGCAUCCGACAGUGACUUAGAUGAUGAGGAAUAUGAGCAGAAGAGGCUUGCGGAGAAGCCGAUCGGUCCGGUUGACCCUAUAAAAUGUACGGCGGCUGGCACUGGAAUCGCCGGUGGAACAGCGUGUGCUCCGUCAACUUUCACCGUUGUGACGAAGGAUUCUGAUGGUCGUAAGGUUCCACAUGGUGGGGCGAUGGUUAAGAUUAGAGUUUCACCUGGUGUUGGAGUUGGAGGAUCAGAUUUGGAAGGGAUUGUGAAGGAUAUGGGUGAUGGGACAUACACAGUGAGUUAUAUUGUUCAGAAGAGAGGAAAUUAUAUGGUGAAUGUUGAAUGUAAUGGAAAGCCUAUCAUGGGUAGUCCUUUCCCUGUUUUCUUCAGCACAGGCAGUACGACUGGCGGGCUAUUGGGUAUAGUACCGUCAACAACAUUUCCAAAUAUGGUCAACCAGAACAUGCCUAAUAUGCCAAACUAUUCUGGUUCUGUAUCUGGGGCAGUCCCAGGAUUGCUUGGGAUGAUACCAGGUAUUGUUCCUGGAGCUUCUGGAGGUGUAGUUUUACCUGGAAUUGGAGCAUCUAUUGGGGAAGUUUGCCGAGAGUACCUUUAUGGACGAUGUGCAAAAACUGAUUGCAAAUUCAAUCACCCCCCUCACAAUCUUCUAAUGACUGCUCUAGCUGCGACCACCAGUAUGGGAACACUUAGUCAAGUUCCCAUGGCACCUUCUGCGGCUGCUAUGGCUGCUGCUCAGGCAAUUGUUGCUGCACAAGCUCUUCAAGCGCAUGCUGCUCAGGCACAAGCACAGUCUGGAAAAGAUUCGUCUGGUGACAAAGAUAGAAAGGCCGAAUCCCUUAAAAGAACUUUGCAAGUCAGCAAUCUCAGCCCACUUCUGACAGUGGAUCAGUUGAAACAGCUGUUUGGUUUCUGUGGUGCAAUCAUUGAUUGUAGCAUUACUGAAUCCAAACAUUUUGCUUACAUCGAAUACUCAAAACCCGAAGAAGCAACUGCUGCUUUAGCAUUGAACAAUAUAGAAGUUGGAGGUCGCCCCUUAAAUGUUGAAAUGGCAAAACAACUUCCUCCAAAGGCAUCUGUCUUAAAUUCAUCAAUGGGCUCUUCUUCUUUGCCCUUGAUGAUGCAGCAAGCAGUAGCAAUGCAGCAGAUGCAGUUCCAGCAAGCCCUAUUAAUGCAGCAAGCUAUGACUGAACAACAAGCUGCUAAUCGAGCUGCAACCAUGAAAACUGCUACAGAUUUGGCUGCCGCAAGAGCUGCAGAAAUAAGCAAGAUGUUGAAAGCGAAUGGCCUGGUUUCUGAAGAUAAGGAAACUGAUGACAAAGCUAAGUCACCUUCUCCCAGUCGUGCUAGGUCAAGAUCCAGGUCACCAUCCAAAUCUCGAUCCAGAUCAAGAUCUCCAAUAAGUUAUAGGCGAAGGCGCAGAUCCCGUUCUUUCUCUCCUCCACGGAGAUCAAGAGAUUAUAGAUCCAGGUCACCUGUGAGAUCCCGGCGCUAUUCAGGCUACGAAGAUGAAAGGCGGCCAUAUAGGGAUGUUAGAUAUGCUAAUGAAAGAAGUCGAAGACGGGAUUUUGUUAGAUUCUAUGAUCGUCGUUCUCCUGUUUCAAGGAGAAACAGAAGUAGAAGCACAAGUCCCCGAACUAGAAAAUCUUACCGUGACGAUUCAGGCUCACCAAAACACCGCCGAGAAAGUCCGGCACUUAAGACAAGUAGAGCUUCUCGCCAUGAGUCAGUAUCGCCUGAACAUAGACGAAAAAGUAGGUCAUCCCCAAAAGAUGGUGAAAGAAAAUCAAAAUAUAGCAGGCGCUCGAGAUCAAAGUCUGCUGAAGUUAGGGACCAGUCUGAUGAUAAGCUAGAAGGAAGCAGGGGUGAGAAAGCCAGGCAGAAGGAUCAAAGAAGGUCAGCAUCACCACAGGUUGAUGAAGAUGCACAGAAGAAAAUGUCACCGGAAGUUGUGGAAGAAAGCAAGUCAAAGCAGAGAAGAGCCUCCAGGUCCAGAUCGCCAGAAGAGAAGCAUCUUUCUAGCAGAAGCAGAGAAGAGAAAAGAAAGCAUCAUGCUAGAAGGCGCUCCAGGUCAAGGUCCAAAUCUCCUGAAGAGAAAGUUCACUCUAGUGAUAAAGUAGACAGAAAUAAAGGAGAUAAACCUAAGCAUCGAAGUAGAAGGCACUCAAAGUCAAGGUCCAGAUCUCCUGAAGAAAAACAUCAUUCAAGUGCUAAAUUGGAAAGGAGCAGAAAAGAGAAAUCAAAGAGUCGAAGUAAAAGGCGCUCCAGGUCAAGAUCUGUCGAUGAUAAGCAGCACGGAACUAAACAGUCAGCAAGCCGUUCUGAUAGCCGACGAUCAAAGCUCAGGGCACGUUCUAGAUCAAAUUCUUCUGAAAGUAGGCAUGGAUCAGGUCAAGAUGAAACCAUAAAGGAUGACGUGAGAGGUCAUAGGGGUCACCAGAGAAGAUCUAGGCAGGAUGGCAAUAAUCAUGGAACAACUGAGAUUAGCUUGAUGGAAGAAGAUCCUGCUAAGGGAAUGUAAACCAGUGACUGAUAGCUUCCAAUUCAAAGAGUUCUGAAUCUAUGGGUUAUGGCUUGUGAUACUCAAUUGUGUGAACAUUUUAUUUUACCAUUGCAGAAAACAUGAGAAGUUUUGAGGAAGCAUGAUGUCCUGGAAGAUCGUGAUCCCAACACCCGAUGAUCAAGAAAGAUCUGUUAAGACUGAAUUAAUUGCAGUUUGUAUGAUGAAAACGCCUAUUUUUGCUUCUUUUGCAGGUCCUUCAUGGAACAUAACCAGAAAGUGAAGUAGCAUUAGUUGAAAGGUUGAGUAUCAAGUUUGUGCCAUCUUGGAUCAACUCUGCUGAGUUUCUUGUGAACUACUUUUUGAGCUCAUGUAUGGUGAACUUUUACCUCUGUCAGUAGGUCUUGGGACUGGUUCUUGUUGGCGCUUUAUCAAUUGAAUGGGCAAAGUUAUAUCUGAUUGUAUUUGAAGGCAGGCUGCUAUUAAGGUUAAUGUAACCAGAUGUUGCUGAGAUGAUAGUGCAUGAUGCUCCCUGAAUCGAGCAUGAAACAGAUACUCAUAUCUGUUCUUUAAUUGGUGGAACUCAAUUGUUCCAUAACAGGUGGUGCUGAAUGUAUGGGACUGAGAGCUGUAUCCUGUUGUCAAUCUAGAUGUGGUUGAUGUCACACUUAUAAUUUCCUUCCCUUCCCCCUUCCUUUUUCAUUUACAUUCACGUUUACCCUUCCCCGUCUUUCAUCUCUGCUUCUCUCCCUUGCUUUCCUCGUUUUGUUAUUUGGGGUGGUUGGAGGUUCUAUAAGGAGUAGUAUGACUAGCUAAAAGGCACAAGCAGCAAGGCGAGGAAACAUUAAUUUUGGCGGGUGAUUUGACAAUGUAUUUUUGCUAGGAUGUUUUUGUUUGGACCAGGAUUAUAUCUCAAGAGUAGACACUUUGUUUAGGUGUGUAUGGGCCAUCUAUGAAAUAAAAAUCAACAGAUAUUUUUCA